rnacentral:rRNA from 1 species
AUUGAACGCUGGCGGCAGGCUUAACACAUGCAAGUCGAGCGGAGAUGAGGUGCUUGCACCUUAUCUUAGCGGCGGACGGGUGAGUAAUGCUUAGGAAUCUGCCUAUUAGUGGGGGACAACAUUCCGAAAGGAAUGCUAAUACCGCAUACGUCCUACGGGAGAAAGCAGGGGAUCUUCGGACCUUGCGCUAAUAGAUGAGCCUAAGUCGGAUUAGCUAGUUGGUGGGGUAAAGGCCUACCAAGGCGACGAUCUGUUGCGGGUCUGAGAGGAUGAUCCGCCACACUGGGACUGAGACACGGCCCAGACUCCUACGGGAGGCAGCAGUGGGGAAUAUUGGACAAUGGGGGGAACCCUGAUCCAGCCAUGCCGCGUGUGUGAAGAAGGCCUUAUGGUUGUAAAGCACUUUAAGCGAGGAGGAGGCUACUGAGACUAAUACUCUUGGAUAGUGGACGUUACUCACAGAAUAAGCACCGGCUAACUCUGUGCCAGCCGCCGCGGUAAAAC